AGGUGUCGCUUCUUGCUGCUCUCAAGCCCUACUCCCCAUGCUUCUGCUUCUAGCUUGCUGGGAGCUGGGAAACUGACCAAGCGUGGAAAACUACAGGAUGUAUUCACUGGAUUGGAAAGCCACAGAAUCAUCAGGGAAUACUUGGAGGACAGCUAAAAUGGAAAAAGGCCUUAAAAUGAUGGCAUCAAGCAAAAUGAAUAGCAGGAGAAGGUGCUGUAUUUGGGGGAAUCUGAUGCAGCAGAAGGGGAAAUGUGGAGAAAGGGAACAUGCAGCCACAAACACUUACACAAGCCCUUACGGCCAAUGAGCAUCAGAAGCGAUCAGGAAGACACUCCGAAAGAUUCUAGAGGAAUGGCUUGAGAAUGUCAGGAGAUAGCAACUAACCCAAACCAAGGCCAGGUAAGACUUCCAGAGCAUUAGAAAACCUCAUAAAGAGGCUGUCUGUGAUCUCAAGGAAGUAAACCUCGGCAAGAACACUUUGACAGGUGACAUGGAAUGGAAAUAAGGCCAGGAAGGGUGAAGAGAAGAUGACCAGGAAACAAGAGCAAUUCAUGGCACACCCUAUACAUGUUGUGAUACAGCUCACUUCCCUGACAUCUAGUCUGUGUUUCCCACGAUUAGCACCCAGACAGCAUUUCCAGCCAGUGUGGAGCACCAGCUCUGCGCAGCCUCACCUUUUUCAACAUGUACCUCGAUAAUCUUCUUCUCGCGGAUCACCUUGGCACCGCUGCAGCUCUCGCAGCGGUCCUUGGGGUUGAUGCGCUCACCCUGGCCCUUGCACUCAACGCACACGGUCUGGAUCUGCUGUACCAUGCCCGGCCCGAUCUGCUGGAUGUGGAUCUGCAUCCCCCGCCCCUUGCACAGCGGGCACUUCUCUACCGAUCCCUUCUUCCCACCAACACCUGCAGGGUCAGGGGAGGCAGGAAUGAGGGCCAUGCUCUUCCCUUACCAGUGUCCCUGCUGGGCGCCAUGGCAGAAGGGUAGGGAACCCUCACAUUGGACACUGGGCUUAGAAUUCUAUUUACCAUCAUAAAAAACAACGCAGAAGAGUCUGGAGGAGUCCAGCCAAGCAGAUAACAUCCAGAUGUUAACAUCUGACCUCAAACGUUUGUGAUUUUGGCUGCACCAAUCCAAAUUUAUUACUUUAGCUUCAUCAAAUGUGUUUUCUUCUACCCCAGGUGGAACCCGCAUAGGCCCACAGAUGAUUGAGGAGGCUGGGGCUGUGGAGAUCUAGAGAACACAAGCUCUGUCAAUAGCGGCAGCCACCCAGCUCAGCCAAUUCUCUCUGUGGGACAAUGUGAGGCUGGGGUCACCAGACAUGGCUUUUCUUGAAAACUCAGAUUUUUUAAAAAUUACAAUAAUUAUAUAUACAUUUAAGUCUGGGGUCAAGAAACCAUGGCCAGACUGCUUGGUUUUGUAAAUAAAGCUUUACUGGAACA